GACGAACGCUGGCGGCGUGCUUAACACAUGCAAGUCGAACGGAGUGGCGAACGGGUGAGUAACACGUUGGUGAUCUGCCUUGCACUUCGGGAUAAGCUUGGGAAACUGGGUCUCAUACCGGAUUGUGCAAGAUGAGCUCGCGGCCUAUCAGCCUGUUGGUGGGGUAAUGGCCUACCAAGGCGUCGGCGGGUAGCCGGCCUGAGAGGGUGUACGGCCACAGUGGGCUUGAGAUACGGCCCAGACGCCUACGGGAGGAAGCAGUGGGGACUAUUGCACAAUGGGCGGAAGCCGGGUGCAGCGACGCCGCGUGGGGGAUGAAGGCCUUCGGGUUGUAAACUCCUUUCGACAGGGACGCGGUACCUGUAUAGGAAGCACCGGCUAACUACGUGCCAGCAGCCGCGGUAAUUC
rnacentral:rRNA from 1 species